GACACUCUCAGUAACGAAGCUAACGCGUGAAGUCGACCGCCUGGGGAGUACGGCCGCAAGGUUAAAACUCAAAGGAAUUGACGGGGACCCGCACAAGCGGUGGAUUAUGUGGAUUAAUUCGAUGCAACGCGAAAAACCUUACCUACCCUUGACAUGUCCUGGAGGCGGAAGAGAUUCCGCUGUGCCCGAAAGGGAACGGGAACACAGGUGCUGCAUGGCUGUCGUCAGCUCGUGUCGUGAGAUGUUGGGUUAAGUCCCGCAACGAGCGCAACCCUUGUCAUUAGUUGCUACAUUCAGUUGGGCACUCUAAUGAGACUGCCGGUGACAAACCGGAGGAAGGUGGGGAUGACGUCAAGUCCUCAUGGCCCUUAUGGGUAGGGCUUCACACGUAAUACAAUGGCGCGUACAGAGGGUUGCCAAGGGGUGACCUGGAGCCAAUCCCACAAAGCGCGUCGUAGUCCGGAUUGCAGUCUGCAACUCGACUGCAUGAAGUCGGAAUCGCUAGUAAUCGCGGAUCAGCAUGUCGCGGUGAAUACGUUCCCGGGUCUUGUACACACCGCCCGUCACACCAUGGGAGUGGGUUCCACCAGAAGCCGGUCGCCUAACCGCAAGGGGGGCGCCGACCACGGUGAGAUUCAUGACU
rnacentral:rRNA from 1 species